GGGUUGUGAGGUUAAGCGACUAAGCGUACACGGUGGAUGCCCUGGCAGUCAGAGGCGAUGAAGGACGUGCUAAUCUGCGAUAAGCGUCGGUAAGGUGAUAUGAACCGUUAUAACCGGCGAUUUCCGAAUGGGGAAACCCAGUGUGAUUCGUCACACUAUCGUUAACUGAAUACAUAGGUUAACGAAGCGAACCGGGGGAACUGAAACAUCUAAGUACCCCGAGGAAAAGAAAUC
rnacentral:rRNA from 1 species